GGGGUCAAUACAUGGGAAUUUUUACAAACCCGCGAUUUGCUAAUUAGUGGAGCGAGUUGGGAAUUAAUCCAGUUGUUCCGCAGGAUUUGCGUUAAGACUCCUCACUGAAACAACAUAUUAUCAGACAUAUAAAAUAAAAACUGAUAACAAAAUGCAUCUGGCAACCCAGAAGAUUAUUUCAAUUGUUUACCACCGAGGAAAAUUAAUGAUCAAAGAAGCCCACAGACUGGGAUGACUGAAUACGAAUUUAUGAUCUAAAUGACCAAAUUGAUGAUCAAAAUCAGACCUGAGGAUUGGAAUGAACCUGAACCCAUGGUGGAACUAGUGCUGAGGACCUGAAUUUUGGGAUGACGAAUAAUAAUAAUCCAGAAUGGUAUUAUACUGUAGUCGAGAUUCCUGUAUACAGUUUAUAAAUCAUUUCCUUCUCCUAGCUAGGGGAACACCUUGAGCCCCUUUCUUUGCCUGACUGUAUUCCAGACACGUAGUUCAUCCUAGGGGAAAUUAACAGAUGCUGAGGUUUAUGCAAAAGAUUGUGGAGAUGGAAAUUGGAGAGAAAUUAACAUGAAAUUCUCAUGGGUGUUUUCAUUCUUUAUUUCUACAUUUUAAAGAUUCCUUGUCUAAUCUGACUGAGAAACUAUUGGUGUAUAGAAAUGAAAUUAGAAUCCUGAAAAGGAAAUGAAUGUAAAAUAGGUUGAAGAAUAGCAGGAGGAAGGACUAUGGAGGAAAAAUACUUUGAGCAAUAGCUUAAGAAAAACACUAGAAAGUAAAGACGACUCAGGAAGGGA